rnacentral:rRNA from 1 species
AUUGAACGCUGGCGGCAGGCCUAACACAUGCAAGUCGAACGAGUGGCGGACGGGUGAGUAAUGUCUGGGAAACUGCCUGAUGGAGGGGGAUAACUACUGGAAACGGUAGCCAAUACCGCAUACCAUCGGAUGUGCCCAGGUGGGUUUAGCUAGUAGGUGGGGUAAAGGCUCACCUAGGCGACGAUCCCUAGCUGGUCUGAGAGGAUGACCAGCAACACUGGAACUGGGACCCGGUCCAGACUCCUACGGUAGGCAGCAGUGGGGAAUAUUGCACAAUGGGCGCAGGCCUGAUGCAGCCAUGCCGCGUGUAUGAAGAGGGCCUUCGGGUUGUAAAGUACUGUCAGCGGGUAGGCGUUACCCGCAGAAGAAGCACCGGCUAACUCCGUGCCAGCAGCCGCGGUAAUAC